rnacentral:rRNA from 1 species
UGGGGAAUCUUGGGCAAUGGGCGCAAGCCUGACCCAGCCAUGCCGCGUGUGUGAAGAAGGCCUUCGGGUUGUAAAGCACUUUCAGUGGUAAAGAAAAGCCUGGGGCUAAUACCUCCGGGUCUUGACGUUAGCCACAGAAGAAGCACCGGCUAACUCCGUGCCAGCAGCCGCGGUAAUACGGAGGGUGCAAACGUUAAUCGGAAUUACUGGGCGUAAAGCGCGCGUAGGCGGUUCGACAAGUGGGAUGUGAAAGCCCCGGGCUCAACCUGGGAACUGCAUUCCAAACUAUCGGGCUAGAGUAUGGUAGAGGGAGGUGGAAUUUCCUGUGUAGCGGUGAAAUGCGUAGAUAUAGGAAGGAACACCAGUGGCGAAGGCGGCCUCCUGGACCAAUACUGACGCUGAGGUGCGAAAGCGUGGGGAGCAAACAGG